UGUUGGAGAGAAUAAAGGAAAAGCUGUAAUAUACUGAACUUCUAUAGUUAUGAAAUUUCGGUGGAUGUUAGGACCAUUGGAAUCGUUCCGGCGAAGUUUGAGAGUGUUCGGGGGUUUUCGGUGCGCGUUGGGCGCGAAAAUAGAACCCGAAAGGCUAUGUUGGACCAUGGACUAAAUUCGGCAUAAGCGUGGAUGAAAAGAUGGUUUGAACGUGCUCGAAAACAUGUUUUGGGGGUCUCGGUACGAUUUGAGAUGAAUCGGAGGCCUAACGAGCGAAAGCGAGUGAAAACGGAGAAAAG
rnacentral:lncRNA from 1 species